rnacentral:rRNA from 1 species
AACGAACGCUGGCGGCAUGCCUAACACAUGCAAGUCGAACGAGACCUUCGGGUCUAGUGGCGCACGGGUGCGUAACGCGUGGGAACCUGCCCUUAGGUUCGGAAUAACUCCCCGAAAGGGGUGCUAAUACCGGAUAAUGUCUUCGGACCAAAGAUUUAUCGCCUUUGGAUGGGCCCGCGUUGGAUUAGCUAGUUGGUAGGGUAAAAGCCUACCAAGGCGACGAUCCAUAGCUGGUCUGAGAGGAUGAUCAGCCACACUGGGACUGAGACACGGCCCAGACUCCUACGGGAGGCAGCAGUGGGGAAUAUUGGAAAAUGGGCGAAAGCCUGAUCCAGCAAUGCCGGGUGAGUGAUGAAGGCCUUAGGGUUGUAAAGCUCUUUUAACCGGGAUGAUAAUGACAGUACCGGGAGAAUAAGCGCCGGCUAACUCCGUG